GAAGUUCUUCCAGAAAUGGAAUCCCAGUUCCCAGAAGAGAUACUGCUGUCCAGCUGCGUCUCUGUAUGGAAAGUGGCAGUUGCACGGAAACAGGACCGGCAAGCAAAAUAGGACUCUCUACUCUGUCCCUUUAUAUGCUGGGGACAUAGCUCCCCUCCCCUCCACUGUGCCUCAAGGGCAGCUGGAAAGACAGUGUUGGCAUAGCACUGAAUUCAAGGCCAGCAUGCACUGUGCCAGCUGAUGGAUUUUUUUUUUUUUACUUUUUAUUGAUUUUAUUUUUUUUAAAUACACAACAGCAGAAUGUAUUACAAUUAGAGCACAAAUUUUCAUACCUUUGUAUAAAGUAUGUUCACACCAAUUUAUGUCUAUAUACAUGUACUUUUGUUGCAUUACAAUUCUUAUUAUACAUAAUCACCACAAUUUUUCAUAUCUCUGUUUGUAUAUAAAGUAGGUUGACACCCAAUUCAUGUCUUCAUACAUAUACUUUGGAUAAUGAUGUCCAUCACAUUCCACCAUCCUUGCUAAUCCCCUUCUUCCUCCCUUCCCCUCCCUCCCCUCUGCCCUAUCUAGAAUUCAUCUAUUUGUCCUAUGUUCCCCCUCUCUACCCCAUUAUAAGUCAGUCUGCUGAUAUCAGAGAAAACAUUCGGCAAUUUUUUUUGGGGGGGGAUUAGCUAACUUCACUUAGCAUUAUCUUCUCCAUUGCCAUCCAUUUACCUGCAAAUGCCAUGAUUUUAUUCUCUUUUAUUGCUGAGUAAAAUUCCAUUGUGUAUAUAUGCCACAUUAUUUUUAUCCAUUCAUCCA
rnacentral:lncRNA from 1 species